rnacentral:ncRNA from 1 species
AGAGGCCCAGAUAAAAGGAGGAGCUGCUUCAUUAUGGCCCCGAGUCAUGUGCGGAUAGCCGCGAGGCUAUACGUGAUGCGGUUGACAGGGGAAAGCGCGGGCCAGCCAUUGAGUUCCUAUAUCACCUAUACGGGGCGCCGACCACGUGGUCCGAGAGGGAAGGCAACAUUGUGAAACGGCGCUAAACAGCGAGCCGUCCACAGGUCCCGCGGGGUCUGAGACCC